UCCGCACUUCUGGCCGGUGUCUGGGGAAUCAACUUACAGCAACUUCCAGGUCAAGAAGAUUUCCAGCCUAAGAGACAGCGGCUUCUCUGGGGCGACACUUCACUUGCAGCAUAAGAAAGAGCCCAUCCUUGAGGUGCAGCUGUGGCAUCUGGACUCUUGGCCUAAAGACAAACCUGUUCCACAGAACCCGGGGGCCAUCAUUAGCCUCAUUGGCAAAGUGGAGCGGCUGCAGCAGCAGGACAAAGAGAGUCAUGUACUUGUGAUCUGUAGUGAUGGGGCAACCCGGUCGGGCAUUUUCUGUGCUGGAAGUUUAAUAUGUGACCAGAUCCGCAGCGAUGGAUUCCUGGAUGUUUCCCAAUCAGUGAGAUCCCUCAAGAAACGGAGAAGACAACUUAUUCCUAAUGUAGAUCAGUACUCGUUCUGUUACUCACUGGCUAAGACUUAUUUGGACUCCUUUGAGACCUAUGGGAAUUUCCAGUAGAAUUCCGGAGCUGUUGGACAUGGGAGAGAACCAGGAACUGCCGGUCAGUCUGACCUGAGCCGCACUGCUGACAUUUAGUUCUGUAUAUCUAAAAUGUUCUAUAUAUUUCUAACCAAUAACAAAUAAUAUUGUAGAAAAUAAAGACAUUAAAUUAUAAUAAAGUUAUUUUAUGGAUUUAAUUAUAAGAUGUUGUUAAAGCCUUUAACUAAUCAGUGUAAUUGUCUCAUUAAUUCUGUUACAUGAACCUUUGAUUAAAUGAACAGAACCAGAUCCAAUGGCUGCAGUUC